ensembl:lncRNA
AAGAAGGGGGUAUGGUCUUAUCUCUAGAAGCUCUUAAUCAAUGCCAGAGGCAAGAACUUAAGUUGGUUACUGUCUGGCAACUUCAUGUAACUGACCCCCCCCCCCCCCCCCCCCACAAAUCCUCCUUUGUCUUUAGCCGAGGAUAAAAUUCAAGCCGUGACUUCUGCCAUUUACUCAAUCCGGUUUGAUUCUUAUCUAAAAGUUGUGGGACCGCCAAAUGGCCAGACCAUACGGGCACUGAUACCAUUUUAACUUUUUUACAUAUUCUUUGUCUUGUAAAGAGAUAACUCACAUACCUAUGCCUUAAAUUUAGCCCUAACCCUCAACUCGGGGCAGCAGCAGGAGCUCUGACUGCCCGUGGGUCCUGUCCCCACGCACCAGCUCUGCCUGCCCAUGGGUCCUGUCCCCAUGCCAGCGGGGGCAGCAGAAGCAGCGGCAGCAGAAGCUCUGACUGCCCAUGGGUCCUGUCCCCAUGCUAUUCUAUACUAUUCUCUAAAUAAAAGAGCACUACUGCCAGAUCUUGAGAGUCUAAGAAAUCUUUCUUUCGACUCCUCGGCUCACCGACCCCGCAUCAUUUCUGGUGGCCCGUACGGGGAUCUCGCUUCAUCGGCUUGUGAGCUCGAGUUCUGCCAGACGAACCCCCAUUUGGGGAGAGGAAAUGUCCUCCUCCCCUACAGUUUUGGCGUAGUUGGCAGGAUGAAAUUUCCCUGGCUGGACACUGCUUGCUCCUGGACUGCUGCGGCUGAGAGAUCCCGGACCCCUGACGAGAGCCAGCAAGAGGUAAGAGUUCUUACCACGUCAGUCUCCCGGAUCUCUGCCUGCAGGCUCCAAUGGAAGCAAGAGUGGACACAUUGGUUAUCUUACCAAGGCUUUGAAUGGAAUGUCAUAUUUGAGCGAAACAUACAGGCUCAGAUAUGACAACACAGCUUUUCAGGAACAAAGAUUGGACAUUCUGGAAUACAGCCACUUGGAAACAUGGGCCUGGUACCUUGUUUACAGAGAUUCUGGCAAUCUUGCCUGUUUCACCUCCUGGACCACCUCUCAUCAAAUGAUUCUCUCGUCGCCAGAGGAUCUGUACACCUUGUCAGCCUUGGACGCCACUGGCGCAGCCUUCCAGUCCGCUAAGCCUCCUACCUGUACCCAUGGCCCCAUUUAGGGACAGCUCUACGACUUUGUACAGCCGGAAGUAGUUACAGAAGACUGACUAUCGUCCAUAUCCGCAAAAGAUUUUGGGGCCAAAAUGGGUUCGGGGGGGUUUAUGAUGAGGAUUUUUAGGCUGCUAAAUUUUAAAAUGGCUUAUGAUGAGGAUUUUUAGGCUGGUUAGUUUUAAAACUACAUAUGAGAUUCAGGCUCCAAGGAGUGGAAUUUGUUUGCCCCUUUGUUGGGAAACAUUUACAUUUCUAAGGGAAACCUCUAUCUGUGAAAAUGCCUCCCUCUCUGUGCCAGGAAGAAGGGGGUAUGGUCUUAUCUCUAGAAGCUCUUAAUCAAUGCCAGAGGCAAGAACUUAAGUUGGUUACUGUCUGGCAACUUCAUGUAACUGACACCCCCCCCCCCACACACACAAAUCCUCCUUUGUCUUUAGCCGAGGAUGAAAUUCAAGCCGUGACUUCUGCCAUUUACUCAAUCCGGUUUGAUUCUUAUCUAAAAGUUGUGGGACCGCCAAAUGGCCAGACCAUACGGGCACUGAUACCAUUUUAACUUUUUUACAUAUUCUUUGUCUUGUAAAGAGAUAACUCACAUACCUAUGCCUUAAAUUUAGCCCUAACCCUCAACUCGGGGCAGCAGCAGGAGCUCUGACUGCCCGUGGGUCCUGUCCCCACGCACCAGCUCUGCCUGCCCAUGGGUCCUGUCCCCAUGCCAGCGGGGGCAGCAGAAGCAGCGGCAGCAGAAGCUCUGACUGCCCAUGGGUCCUGUCCCCAUGCUAUUCUAUACUAUUCUCUAAAUAAAAGAGCACUACUGCCAGAUCUUGAGAGUCUAAGAAAUCUUUCUUUCGACUCCUCGGCUCACCGACCCCGCAUCAACUUCACUUCUCUGUGCCUCAGUUUCCUCAUCUGUAAAAUAAGGAUAAUAAUAGUUGUGUUUGCCAGAGUUCAGUGCAGGAAAUAGGAACCACUGGAGGU